rnacentral:ncRNA from 1 species
AUACAUGCCAACAGAGUCCCGACCGGAGACGGAAGGGACGCUUUUAUUAGAUCAAAACCAAUCGGUGGUUUCGGCCAUCGUCUACUUUGGUGACUCUGAAUAACUUUGGGCUGAUCGCACGGCCUUCGUGCCGGCGACGCAUCUUUCAAAUGUCUGCCUUAUCAACUGUCGAUGGUAGGUUCUGCGCCUACCAUGGUUGUAAC